rnacentral:rRNA from 1 species
AGUGAACGCUGGCGGUAGGCCUAACACAUGCAAGUCGAACGGCAGCACAGUAAGAGUUUGCUCUUACGGGUGGCGAGUGGCGGAUGGGUGAGGAAUACAUCGGAAUCUACUUUUUCGUGGGGGAUAACGUAGGGAAACUUACGCUAAUACCGCAUACGACCUACGGGUGAAAGCAGGGGAUCUUCGGACCUUGCGCGACUGAAUGAGCCGAUGUCGGAUUAGCUAGUUGGCGAGGUAAAGGCCCACCAAGGCGACGAUCCGUAGCUGGUCUGAGAGGAUGAUCAGCCACACUGGAACUGAGACACGGUCCAGACUCCUACGGGAGGCAGCAGUGGGGAAUAUUGGACAAUGGGCGCAAGCCUGAUCCAGCCAUGCCGCGUGGGUGAAGAAGGCCUUCGGAUUGUAAAGCCCUUUUGUUAGGAAAGAAAAGAAGCAGGUUAAUACCCCGCUGUUCUGACGGUACCCAAAGAAUAAGCACCGGCUAACUUCGUG